GUCGGCCUGCGCGGAAGAUGUAACGGGGCUAAACCAUGCACCGAAGCUGCGGCAGCGACACUAUGUGUUGUUGGGUAGGGGAGCGUUCUGUAAGCCUGUGAAGGUGUGUCGUGAGGCAUGCUGGAGGUAUCAGAAGUGCGAAUGCUGACAUAAGUAACGAUAAAGCGGGUGAAAAGCCCGCUCGCCGGAAGACCAAGGGUUCCUGUCCAACGUUAAUCGGGGCAGGGUGAGUCGACCCCUAAGGCGAGGCCGAAAGGCGUAGUCGAUGGGAAACGGGUUAAUAUUCCCGUACUUGGUGUUACUGCGAAGGGGGGACGGAGAAGGCUAUGUUGGCCGGGCGACGGUUGUCCCGGUUUAAGCGUGUAGGUGUGUGUUCCAGGUAAAUCCGGUUCACUUUAACACUGAGGCGUGACGACGAGGCACUACGGUGCUGAAGCAACAAAUGCCCUGCUUCCAGGAAAAGCCUCUAAGCAUCAGGUAACAUCAAAUCGUACCCCAAACCGACACAGGUGGUCAGGUAGAGAAUACCAAGGCGCUUGAGAGAACUCGGGUGAAGGAACUAGGCAAAAUGGUGCCGUAACUUCGGGAGAAGGCACGCUGACACGUAGGUGAAGUGAUUUACUCAUGGAGCUGAAGUCAGUCGAAGAUACCAGCUGGCUGCAACUGUUUAUUAAAAACACAGCACUGUGCAAACACGAAAGUGGACGUAUACGGUGUGACGCCUGCCCGGUGCCGGAAGGUUAAUUGAUGGGGUCAGCGCAAGCGAAGCUCCUGAUCGAAGCCCCGGUAAACGGCGGCCGUAACUAUAACGGUCCUAAGGUAGCGAAAUUCCUUGUCGGGUAAGUUCCGACCUGCACGAAUGGCGUAAUGAUGGCCAGGCUGUCUCCACCCGAGACUCAGUGAAAUUGAACUCGCUGUGAAGAUGCAGUGUACCCGCGGCAAGACGGAAAGACCCCGUGAACCUUUACUAUAGCUUGACACUGAACAUUGAGCCUUGAUGUGUAG
rnacentral:rRNA from 1 species